ensembl:lncRNA
CUCGGUCCUCCAGCCCCCCACCUCGGUCCUCCAGCCUCACUUCCAAGUCCUCCAGCCCCCCACCUCGGUCCUCCAGCCCCCCAACUCGGUCCUCCAGCCCCCCAGCUCACCUUGCUAUAGAGCUGCGCGGCCGCCAUGGCCGCCUCGUCGCUAUGGGGCGGAGUUGUGGGGCGGAGCUCCGCCCCAUAGCAACGCGGCCCCAUAGAGGGCAAUGGGGGGAUGGGAGUGGAGCCGCUCCCUAUGGGGAAAGGUCCCGGCACGGCCAUAAUGGGGUCCUAUGGGGUCCUUAUGGGGUUUUAUGGGGUCCAAUGGGGUCUUAUGGGGCUCUAUGAGGUCUUAUGGGGUUCUAGGGGGUCCUUAUGGGGUCCCUAUGGGGUCUUUAUGGGGUCCUAUGGGGUCUUAUGGGGUCCUAUGGGGUCUUUAUGGGGUCCUAUGGGGGCUUAAAGGGGUUCUAUGGGGUCCUAUGGGGCUCUAUGGGGGCUUAAAGUGGUCUUUAUGGGGUCUUUAUGGGGUCCUAUGGGGUCCUUAUGGGGUUUUAUGGGGUCCAAUGGGGUCCUAUGGGGCUCUAUGAGGUCUUAUGGGGUUCUAUGGGGUCCUUAUGAGGCUCUGUGGGGCUCUAUGGGGUCGUUAUGGGGUCCAAUGGGGUCUUAUGGGGGCUUUAUGGGGUCCUAUGGGGUCUUUAUGGGGUCCCAUGGGGCUCUAUGGGGGCUUAAAGGGGUCUUUAUGGGGUCCUAUGGGGUUCUAUGGGGUCCUUAUGGGGUCCUAUGGGGCCUAAAAGGGUCCUAUUGGGUCCUUAUGGGGUCCUAUGGGGCUCUACGGGGUCCUAUGGGGUCCAUAUGGGGUUAUAUGGGGGCUUUAUGGGGUCCUAUGGGG